rnacentral:rRNA from 1 species
UUAACCUGGAAUUAAUUUAACUCUAUUUGA